rnacentral:tRNA from 5 species
UGACCCCUAACCACCCUUAGCGAC